UCGAACGGAGCUUAGAGAGCUUGCUUUUUAAGCUUAGUGGCGAACGGGUGAGUAACGCGUGAGUAACCUGCCCUAGAGUGGGGGACAACAGUUGGAAACGACUGCUAAUACCGCAUAAGCGCACAGCUUCGCAUGAAGCAGUGUGAAAAACUCCGGUGGUACAAGAUGGACUCGCGUCCAAUUAGCUAGUUGGUGAGGUAACGGCCCACCAAGGCGACGAUUGGUAGCCGGACUGAGAGGUUGAACGGCCACAUUGGGACUGAGACACGGCCCAGACUCC
rnacentral:rRNA from 1 species